rnacentral:lncRNA from 10 species
UUGUUCCUGGAUGCGGGUUUCUGCCUGAUACCUUUUUAAUUCUGGCGAAAACCACUGAUGUAAUUAGUGAGCUUGUUUAACUUUCCACCCACUUGCCCUUUUUCUCCUAUUUUUUGUUAGUUGUAAUAAUUCUACAUCAUUAGAGCAUCCAAUUUUGUCUCUCAUCCCUCCAUCUGUACAAUUAAACAUAUGCAACACUCACCCCCAGACCUUAUGCCAAGGCUUCUAUAAUCAUUUACGAUUGUCUGAAGCUUGCUCACUGGUAAAUUUCUUAGGAAAGGCUCAUGGGAAAAAAUAUUCCCUGAGUAUUAGCAUGCUCUGAACUAUCUGUGUGGACUUUAUGCUUGGAUAGUUUGUCUGGAUGUGAAAAUCCUUUGGUGUUGACUCUUCUGGGUUUUUACAAUGUUCUCUUUCAAAAUGUGUUCAAGUUUUUUUUUUCCCCCAAGAAAUUUUAACCUAAUUAUAGUUUUCCAUUUGUGUUCUGUUCCAUUGCUUUUUCUUUCUUCAGGGACUCCAAUGAAUAUAUAUCAAAUCUUCUUUAUCCUAAAUCCUUUUUUUCUCCUUCCCUGCCCCCUGCUUUUUUUUUUUUUUUUUUUUUUUUUGUCAGGGUGUCACUCUGUCACACAGGCUGGAGGGCAGUGGUGUGAUGUCAGCUCACUGCAACCUUGACCUCCUUCUCAAGGGAUCUUGCCACCUCCGCUUCCCAAGUAGCUGGGACUACAGGUGCGCCACAAUGCCCAGGUCUUUCCAGCUUUUCCUUACUGUGCAUUCCAUUGGUAACUUUUCAUUUUUGUCUUCCUUCUUAGUCUUCAUUUCUAUUUUUUCCCCAAAUUUCGCUUGACUGAUCUGGGUGACAGAGCGAGACUCCGACUCAAAACAAAAAACAGACAAAAACCGUUCUUUGCCUUCAGUGUUGCCCCUCACAGAAUUUUUUUUUUUUUUUUUUUUUUUUUUUUUUUUUUUUUUGAGAUGGAGUCUCACUCUGUUGCCAGGCUGGAGUGCAGUGGCACAAUCUCAGCUCACUGCAAUCUCCACCUCCCACAUUCAAGUGACUCUCCCACCUCAGCCUCCUGAGUAGCUGGGACUAC